rnacentral:tRNA from 1 species
GGUGCUGUGGUGUAGUGGGUAACGUCUCAGCUUGCAGUGCUGGCAUCCCAUAUAGGCCCUGGUUCAAGACCUGGCUGCUCCA